UCUCUCUGAAUCUGCGAACGGCUCCGCAUACCAGUUGUAAACUAUAGCAAGCGCAGCAGGCUCAUCCGUGGGCCUGCAAAUUAUAUGGAUAACCGUGGUAAUUCUGAGGCUAAUACAUGCUAAAGCCAGGUCACGUCCGAAUGGGGGCUUGCUCCCGGGACGUGAUCGGGCGUGUGCCAAAACCCGAUAUCACGACAGAACACACGUUCAGACCAUCAUCCAAGGGAUGGUGCCGGUCACCCUCCGGGGCGGACAGCAUCAUCCUGGUGGCUCCUGUUAUGUGCUUCUGACCUAUCAACUAGAUUGCAGCGCAACGGACAUGCUAUGGUUGCAACGGGUACAGAGGAUUAGGGUUCGAUCCUGGAGAGUGGGCCUGAGAGAUU
rnacentral:rRNA from 1 species